GCUUACGGCCACACGGCCUGGUUCACCCCCGAUCUCGUUUGAUCUCGGAAGCUUAGAUAGGUUGGGCCUGGUUAGUAUUUGGAUGGGAGACCGCCUGGGAAUACCUGGUGUUGUAAGCU
ensembl:rRNA 5S_rRNA 5S ribosomal RNA